rnacentral:rRNA from 1 species
UACGGAGGGUGCAAGCGUUGUCCGGAAUCACUGGACGUAAAGGGCGCGUAGGCGGCUCAUGAAGGCUGUGGUGAAAGUCCGGGGCUCAACCUCGGAUCGGCCGUGGCGACUCGUGGGCUGGAGCACUGUAGAGGCGGGUGGAAUUCCGGGUGUAGCGGUGGAAUGCGUAGAGAUCCGGAAGAACACCAGUGGCGAAGGCGGCCCGCUGGGCAGUGGCUGACGCUGAUGCACGAAAGCUAGGGGAGCAAACAGG